rnacentral:rRNA from 1 species
GUGGGGAAUAUUGGGCAAUGGGGGAAACCCUGACCCAGCGACGCCGCGUGAGGGAAGACGGCCUUCGGGUUGUAAACCUCUUUUGUACGGGAAGAAGGAAGUGACGGUACUGUACGAAUAAGUCCCGGCUAACUACGUGCCAGCAGCCGCGGUAAUACGUAGGGGACGAGCGUUGUCCGGAAUUACUGGGCGUAAAGGGCGCGCAGGCUGUGCUGCAAGUCAGCUGUGAAAUGUCUGGGCUUAACCCGGGCAUGCGGUUGAGACUGCAGUGCUGGAGUGCUGUAGAGGCAAGUGGAAUUCCCAGUGUAGCGGUGAAAUGCGUAGAUAUUGGGAAGAACACCGGUGGCGAAGGCGACUUGCUGGGCAGCAACUGACGCUGAGGCGCGAAAGCCAGGGGAGCAAACGGGAUUAGAUACCCGUGUAGUCC